rnacentral:rRNA from 1 species
GAUGAACGCUGGCGGCGUGCCUAAUACAUGCAAGUCGAGCGAACAGAUGAGGAGCUUGCUCCUCUGACGUUAGCGGCGGACGGGUGAGUAACACGUGGAUAACCUACCUAUAAGACUGGGAUAACUUCGGGAAACCGGAGCUAAUACCGGAUAAUAUAUUGAACCGCAUGGUUCAAUAGUGAAAGACGGUUUUGCUGUCACUUAUAGAUGGAUCCGCGCCGCAUUAGCUAGUUGGUAAGGUAACGGCUUACCAAGGCAACGAUGCGUAGCCGACCUGAGAGGGUGAUCGGCCCCACUGGAACUGAGACACGGUCCAGAACCCUAAGGGAGGCAGCAGGAGGGAAUCUUCCGCAAUGGGCGAAAGCCUGACGGAGCCACGCCGCGUUAGUGAUGAAGGUCUUCGGAUCGUAAAACUCUGUUAUUAGGGAAGAAAAAAUGUGUAAGUAAAUAUGCACGUCUUGACGGUACCUAAUCAGAAAGCCACGGCUAACCACGUG